CAGGUCUUGACUUCCCGCUGCCCGGCAUANAGAUAUGCCUUUCCCUUCGGGGACAGCGGUGACAGGUGGUGCAUGGUUGUCGUCAGCUCGUGUCGUGAGAUGUUGGGUUAAGUCCCGCAACGAGCGCAACCCUUAACCUUAGUUGCCAGCAUUUAGUUGGGCACUCUAAGGUGACUGCCGGUGACAAACCGGAGGAAGGUGGGGAUGACGUCAAAUCAUCAUGCCCCUUAUGACCUGGGCUACACACGUGCUACAAUGGAUGGUACAACGGGUUGCGAAGCCGCGAGGUGUAGCUAAUCCCAUAAAACCAUUCUCAGUUCGGAUUGUAGGCUGCAACUCGCCUACAUGAAGCCGGAAUCGCUAGUAAUCGUGGAUCAGCAUGCCACGGUGAAUACGUUCCC
rnacentral:rRNA from 1 species